UACAGAGGGUGCAAGCGUUGUUCGGAAUUAUUGGGCGUAAAGGGAGUGUAGGCGGUGAGUUAAGUCUUCUGUGAAAUCUACGGGCUUAGCCUGUAACGUGCAGAGGAAACUGGCUGACUUGAGUAUCGGAGAGGGCAGGGGAAUACCCAGUGUAGAGGUGAAAUUCGUAGAGAUUGGGUGGAACACCAGUGGCGAAGGCGCCUGCCUGGCUGAUGACUGACGCUGAGACUCGAAAGCAUGGGGAGCAAACAGG
rnacentral:rRNA from 1 species